GCCAACAAAUUACAUGACUGAACAGCCUGCGAAUCCAUCCUCUCUCUUUCUACAUGACUGACGCUUGCGAAUCCAUUCUCUCUCUUUCUGUUCGUUGCUAAGCUUGAGAUCUGCAACUACUCAUCAAACUUCUGAUCAGCAGCAGCUCUCUUUUUCUCUCUCUAAUCUCUGAAAACCCAAACACACCACCACCAUGGAAACACAAAACGACGACGUCUCUUCAUGGAGCUCCGAUACGAAUUGGUCCGUCGCCGGUGGCGCUCUCGUAGAUCUCGUCACCUUCGAGUCCUCCUUGUCUCCUAUCGACGGCGACGCUCCAAAUUCCACCGCCGGAUCCUCCCUUAUUCUUCGCCCUCCGUCACCAGAUUCUGGACCUUGCGAGAUCACCAUUAAUUUCACACAAAACUACUCAUCAAACUUGAGAAACUAGGGCUCACAGAUGAGUUCUUUGCAAUUGAAUUUCACAGAUCUCUUCAACAGCGGAUCAUCCCUCGAUGAGCUCAAUAUGAUUUUCCACUAGCUACUGCAAUUGAAUUUUGGGAUGGUGUUGGAGAUGCUCUAAACAAAGCAAGUGAUGCCAGUUAGCUACUGCAACUAAAGCACUGUAUAGUACUCUGUUCUUGUCCAUCCUUUAGCUACAAGCUGAAGUCUCAUCUACAUUUCAUGCUGAGGAACUCAAGCUAUCUUGUGGAUCUAUUGUUCACAAUAAAAAACUUAUGUAUUCAGUUAUUUACAUGUAAAUAUCGGAUUGAUGUAUCGAAAAUCAAUUAAAAAACUAUCGUCCGAUAAUGUCCAUUACCGCCCAUUACCUAAUUAGUUGUACAAUUUAUUUUAGAAUUGUCUAAUAUUGAUCAUAGGAUCACCAUGAUUUAUAAAAAUUAGAAGGUGAAACUAGCCAU